rnacentral:lncRNA from 1 species
UAAUGAAUAUAUGCAAUUUUAGAUUCUUACUUUGUCUAUUUUUCAGAUGGGUAUCAAAUGCAGAUGGAACUUUACAGGAACCUGAGUCAACAACACUGGAAGAAUUCUUGGAAGAACUUGAUGCCCUCACAGAAUCAUCCGUGGCUGAUCAGGCGAGACAAGGAGAAGACACAAAACAAAAGAUCCACUUAGCUCUGCGCAGGAAGACAAUGUUACACACGACAAAGCAGACUCCUCAGCCCCACGGGGUCUGGAAAAGAAAGUGCGCUUUCAGAAGAACUCGUACAGGAGAGCGGAGUAUCCCACGAGCCUGCCCUUUCUGA